rnacentral:rRNA from 1 species
CCACCCGGUAAGCCUAAAUACUUAUGAUGACCGAUAGCGGAUAGUACCGUGAGGGAAUGGUGAAAAGUACCCCGGGAGGGGAGUGAAAUAGUACCUGAAACCGUGUGCUUACAAUCCGUCAGAGCCUCUUUUUGUUAGGUGAUGGCGUGCCUUUUGAAGAAUGAGCCUGCGAGUCAGCGGCAUGUCGCGAGGUUAACCCGUGUGGGGUAGUCGUAGCGAAAGCGAAUCCUAAUGAGGGUGUUUUUUUAGUGGCA